rnacentral:rRNA from 1 species
AACGUAGGAGACAAACGUUAUCCGGAGUUACUGGGCGUAAAGGGCGUGUAGGCGGUCUGUUAAGUCUGGCGUGAAAGCUCUCGGCUAAACCGGGAGAGGUCGUUGGAUACUGGCAGACUAGAGGACGGUAGAGGCGUGUGGAAUUCCGGGUGUAGUGGUGAAAUGCGUAGAGAUCCGGAGGAACACCAGUGGCGAAGGCGACACGCUGGGCCGUACCUGACGCUAAAGCGCGGCAGCAUGGGGAGCAAACGGG